rnacentral:misc_RNA from 1 species
CCUAUACCUAGGACCUACCUAACCUGCAAAGUGGUUAAAAUCACACUUCUAAAAUCACAAGUCCCAAACCCACAUCUCAAUAACAUCACAUGGUCCCUCCUGGGCCUUCUAAACCAGGUAAAACUCACAUACUCAGAAAAUUCAAUUAUAGUCCUUAAAACUGAUAUUCUACAGAAAUCAUUCAAACUAGCUCUAAAAAUUUUAAGUUUUGAAGCUUUUAAAUUAAAAAUAUUUUAAAAUGUUAAUUCACCAUAAAAAUUUUCCUAUUUAUUAGUGUUAUCUAGUAAAAAUAUUUAAAAUGUUUUUUAGAACAUAAUUUUAACAUACCUUAAAGUUCUAAUUUUAAAUUCUAUUUUUCAGCGAUUAUCUAUUUUAUUAGUCGUUAACAUUUAGGUUACAAUUUU